rnacentral:miRNA from 1 species
AUUCACAUAUGGAUGAAUACAAUUCACGUAUGGGUGAAUUGUAUUCAAAUAUGGGUCAAUAUAAUUCACAUGUGGGUGAAUUGUAUUCACCCACAUGUGCUGCAAUUCACCCAUAUGUGAAUUGUAUUCACCCAUAUGUGAAU